CAUAAUAAAAUGCUAAAAUUGAUGAGUUUGAGUACAUAUCAUUUAAGAUUGAUUGUUAAGUAAUGCUAUUUUUAUCAGUUUUUACUUUCUUUUCACUGUUGCAUAGUAUAAGUUUGGUUUUAAAAUAUUGUUUCUUGUAUUAAUUGUCAAUAGUUGUUUCUUUUCUGACUUUCAUAAUAUAGUUUACACCCUACUUAGAUUCAGGAGGGACUGAUAUGACUGAGUCCUAAUUAUUUAAAAUUUGUUUAAAAAUAAUGUUUCAUGUACUAAUUACUUCUCAGUAUUUUAUUUUUUCUUAGUUUCACCAGGAGUACUGAUCAGACUCAGUUUUUAUGAUUCAGUAUUCUUUACACAGGAGUGACUAAUCAGAUUCAGGAGUUCCAUGAUAAGACUGAGUCCUAAUUAUUGAAGAUUUAAAAAAAUUGAUGUUUCAUGUACUAACAUCUUUUUCUCCUAGUGUCACCAGAAUUACUAAUCAAACUCAGUUUUUUAUGAUUCCUGUUUGGUUUUAAAAUGUUUUACAAGACUAUUUAUUUGUCAGUA